rnacentral:tRNA from 1 species
AUGAAUGGCCGAGUGGUCGAAGGCGACGGUCUUGAAAACCGUUGUAGGUUUCACCUACCGGGGGUUCGAGUCCCUCUUCAUC